GAGACACUAGUAAAAAGCCAAUUACACUGCCUUGUCAAGGCAGUAUCGUGGGUUGAACCCCCACGUGUCUCG
rnacentral:tRNA from 1 species